rnacentral:rRNA from 1 species
GAAGGAUCAUUACCGAGUGCGGGUCCUUUGGGCCCAACCUCCCAUCCGUGUCUAUUGUACCCUGUUGCUUCGGCGGGCCCGCCGCUUGUCGGCCGCCGGGGGGGCGCCUCUGCCCCCCGGGCCCGUGCCCGCCGGAGACCCCAACACGAACACUGUCUGAAAGCGUGCAGUCUGAGUUGAUUGAAUGCAAUCAGUUAAAACUUUCAACAAUGGAUCUCUUGGUUCCGGCAUCGAUGAAGAACGCAGCGAAAUGCGAUAACUAAUGUGAAUUGCAGAAUUCAGUGAAUCAUCGAGUCUUUGAACGCACAUUGCGCCCCCUGGUAUUCCGGGGGGCAUGCCUGUCCGAGCGUCAUUGCUGCCCUCAAGCCCGGCUUGUGUGUUGGGUCGCCGUCCCCCUCUCCGGGGGGACGGGCCCGAAAGGCAGCGGCGGCACCGCGUCCGAUCCUCGAGCGUAUGGGGCUUUGUCACAUGCUCUGUAGGAUUGGCCGGCGCCUGCCGACGUUUUCCAACCAUUCUUUCCAGGUUGACCUCGGAUCAGGUAGGGAUACCCGCUGAACUUAAGCAUAUCAAUAAGCGGAGGA